GCAGCCAUGGUGGAAUUGGCAGACACGCAGGAUUUAGGUUCCUGUGAGGCGACUCGUGAGGGUUCAAGUCCCUCUGGCUGCA
rnacentral:tRNA from 1 species